CGACGGUUCAUCCCACAGCGCCAGUUCUGCUUACCAAAAAUGGCUCACUAGAUACUCAGAUUAGUCGCCGAAGCUUCAGCGUUCAAGCAAACUCGGCAUCUCACCCAUUUAAAGCUUGA